CUCCCAGACCGUGGGCUCAGCCCUAGGAGAGCUGCUCAGGGAGCCUCCCCUGUGGGUGUUUGCUCCUCCCCAGGCUGUGGCCCAUUUCCCCUUCCUCCUUCCUGCUCAGCCCAAAGGCAGGAGUCAUGGAACCCCAGGAAAGGACGGAACAGAACAGGACAGGGCCCCCAGCCCCAUCUUUAUCUCACCGGCUGCUGCUGGCUGCCAAGCCUCCCCUGAAUGGGGGAGGGUGGUCUGUGUGAGUCAGCGGAGGCACGAAGUGGAGGAAGACGGGAGCCUCUGCCAGGCCCGUUGAGCGUGGCCUCAGAAAUGCGCCGCUGGGUUAGGGUCUCCCCGACCGAGGCUCGAAUCCAGGUCGAAGGGUCGCCGGAGCGAUGGUUGGAGAAUGUGGAAGGAGCUGGAGGACACCCGAGUAUUCUUAAAGCAAUCCCCAUGGCCAAAAUCAACAGCUGAUCUGGAUACCAUCAAGACACCUGAAAUCUUAUCAUGAGCCAGAUGCUGAGGAAGAGACUCCGGGAGGAUCCCGAGGACGGCCCAGUUGCAGCCAUGUUGAGACUGACGCUGAGGAGGACCCCAACUGUCACGAGCAACACCUGUCGAACACAGCCACCCACCUGGGGACAGAUCAAGAAGCUGUCACAGAUGGCAGAAGAAAACCUGAGGAAAGCGGGACAACCAGUCACAAUGAGUAAUUUCAUGGUAGCUAUGAUAGCAGUUAUCACCACUGCUUCUGCAGAUGUGGAUCCUAACUCCUGCGAGAAGUAACUCACAGUGACAAAGCUGCCUUUGCUUUUAUCGAGUUGCAAAUCAAAGAAGGGGGGACAUGUUGGGAACAGGCCCCCCAAGAUCUGGCCAUAAACUGGCCCCAAAACUGGCUAUAAACAAAAUCUGCAGCACUGUG
rnacentral:lncRNA from 1 species